AAAAAAUUAGUUUAUAAAAACAUUGAUUUGUCAAAUCAAAGAUACUUUUGUAUUUUUUA
rnacentral:tRNA from 1 species